rnacentral:rRNA from 1 species
GACGAACGCUGGCGGCGUGCUUAACACAUGCAAGUCGAACGAAGUGGCGAACGGGUGAGUAAUACGUGGGUAACCUGCCCUCAUUUUUGGGAUAAGCCUUGGAAACGGGGACUAAUACCGAAUAAAGGGGGAUGGGCGCGCGGCCUAUCAGCUUGUUGGUGGGGUGAUGGACUACCAAGGCGGUGACGGGUAGCCGGCCGGCGCGGGUGACCGGCGACAUUGGGACUGCGAUACGGCCGAGACUCCUACGGGGGGCAGAAGUUGGGGAUAUGGCGCAAUGGGCGAAAGACUGAUGCAGCGACGCCGCGUGGGGGAUGAAGGCUUUCGGGUUGUAAACCUCUUUCGCUAUCGGACGGUUAGGUGGAGAAGAAGCGCCGGCUAACUACGUGCCAGCAGCCGCGGUAAUAC